UUUCAUACCUGUGUGGUUGGCGGGUAGGAGCGCUAAGCAUAAGGAUCUACGCCACUAGUAAAGAUAGACGCCACAAACGAAGAAUGUCUGGACUAAGAAACUUCUUAGAUGCCAUCACCUCUGGUUACAGCGGUAACGGUAAAAGUGCACAGUGAAAAUGGAACCAGUUGAGUAUCGAGCAAUUGAUCAGGGCUUUAUACUUGAAUCUGACACAAGAAACGUGAGAUAUAAUUGAAAUUAUAUUUGAAUUGUAUAUUUACUGCAUAUAGUAUAUAUACACCUUUUUUAUCUAAAUUCAUAUUAACUUAUCCAUGUGAAACAAAAAGAAUAAUAGCGGAUCUUACAAAAGCAAAUUCAUUAUCAUUCGGAAUAGCGUGAAAAGAACAGGAUAACUGCGACUGUUCAAUAUAUCCACAGAGUGUAACGUACACCGAUAUAAAUUAUCUUUAACACACACGGAAAUAGGUUACUGAUGAAUAUUCCAGCCUGCAAUUUUGUAAGCUAUUUUACAUUUGGUUAGUUGUUUUACAAGGAUUUGAAUUUAAUUGCGAAUGGGGAGAGAGAAGAAAAGGUAAUUUUUAUAUUUUUUUUAUUAUUUUUUUUUUUCUUAACUAGUAUCUGCUGAUUUUAGUGUAGCCAUAAUUGUCAUACGAACUUAAGCCACUGAGACUUUUAUGCAGGACAUUUGCACAAUUAACCUUGUUUACAUCUGUCAGUGUCUAAAUAUUGUAUAUGGAGAAAGUAUCAUUUGUGUGGUCUUUUUUUUUUAAAGUCUUUCAGUUACUAUGAAUGAUUUGUUCCUUAUUUAGGAAAUAGGAAUUCCAUAAAAUAAAUUACUGAGUAACAGACCAAUAGUAAUGAGCCAAUUGCUCGAACAUCUUACAGAGGUCACAUGAAUGCCAGUUUCUCACCCUAUACAGUUCUUGUGUCUUCCUUCACCUUUAAUUUCCUGCUAGUUGCUGGGCUUUCUCGCCUAUUGUGAAUUGGACGAUGCUACCAGUAAUUAGUUAGACCGAGACUAAUUCGCUCCAAGUUUCACAGGUAUAUUAGGUUCUGUGAUAUUUAGAGUCCAUAUCUAAGGUAGAUUCCAGCCAUAGGCAGUGUCUAUGCGACAAGGUCUUUUCAGUAUACACGCCCGUGCCCGUGUGUGUGUG